AAAGUUAAACAAAUUAAAUACCCCGAAAGUAAAAGAUCUAGGGAUAAUAUUUGGUAUUGUAUUAUUCUAUAGUAUACUGUUGCAUUAGUAUAUAAAAAUAUGUUCCUAGAGGUGAAAGACCUUCACUUUUAUAGAUAUCUGGAUAAAUAUUAAAUAAAUUUAGUUUAUAAUAUAGUUACAAUGUGAUAAGAUAGUGUAAAGAGAACUUACAAUGUGUAUUAUGUUGGCUUUUAACUAUUACUUAGCGGCGUUAAACUUAAAUAUAAUAUUCUUAUAUCUAAAAUUCUCUAGUAAUAUUUUAUCUUGUAGCACAACUAAGAAGAUAAAUAAUGUAUAAAUUAGUAAAUAUAAUAAAUUAAUUGAAGGAACUCGGCAAAAAGAUUAUACGACUGUUUAACAAAAACAUAGCCAGUAGGAAUUACAUUAUUGGUGUGACCUGCCCAGUGAGUUUUUAACGGCCGCAGUACCCUGACUGUGCAAAGGUAGCAUAAUCACUUGGCUUUUAAUUGGAGUCUGGAAUGAAAGGAAAAACGUAUAGGAACUGUCUUCCAACCAAUUGUGUUUAACUUACUUAUAAGGUGAAAAUUCCUUCAUAAUAAUAAUAGACGAGAAGACCCUUAGAAUUUUAAGAAAGCCGUAGACUGUACAGCGGGCGAUUUUUGUUGGGGCAACAUUUUUUCAUAAAAUAAAAAAUAUAUUGUUAAAUACAUAACGAAAGAGUAUAAUAAAGUCUAAAUUACCUAAGGGAUAACAGCAUAAUUUUAAAUAAAGAUUGUGACCUCGAUGUUGGACUAGGAACUACUAAGGCUAAUCGUCUUAGUAUAAUGGGUUCUGUUCGAACUUUAUUUCCUA
rnacentral:rRNA from 1 species